rnacentral:tRNA from 1 species
GCGAGUGUAGUUUAGUGGUAUGACGCAAGCUUCCCAAGCUUGAAACCCGAGUCCGAUUCUCGGUACUCGCACAA